rnacentral:lncRNA from 1 species
GGGUGAUGGUUUACCUUACAUUAUUGCAAAAUUAAUAUAUUUUUUUCUGAAUAAAAGCUUGAACUACCAUAAUAGAUUUUUAUUUAUUUAUUUUUUUUUAUUAUUAUAAAAGCCUGUAUUGUUAAUGUGAAAGUCCCAUGGUUAAUGCUGACAAAGUCAUUCAUGUUCAUUACCUUGGUAUGAAACUAAAAGCUUAUACACUGUCCCUUGUUUUCAUGGCUUUACCCCUUUACUAAAAUAUGUGCUGUAAUGUUUUAGCAAAUAGCCAUUAUUGUUUAUACACUGUAAUUCAGGGGGAUGUAGUAAAUGGCAUAUUUUAAGGAGUCUAUUUCUUUGCAUAUAAAAUAGCUGUAAAGCUUACUGGAGGUGAAUAGUGGCUACUACUUAGCUCUCAAUUGUUGGCCACAUUACUGAAAUGAUGAAGAUAUAUCACUGGCUAUAAUAGGGAAAUAGCUGCCAUUUAACACAGUUGAGCAUUAAGGCUGUCAUUUACGCUGCUGAAGCAAUCUUAUUAUUAUAGUGAAUGUAAGCUGCUUUUGUUUCUCCAUAUGUGUAGACGUUCUGGUGUAUAAAAUGCAUUGCUUUUUGUAACAGUAAAUUACAUGAGCUAGAAGGAUGCUGUUGCUUUUUAAAUGAAGUUUUACCUGGACCCUUUGGCACAAUAAACUAAAAUAAUGGCUGGUUUGGGAAUCUCUUCCUUUGCAGUAAUUUCAACAACAGAAUCACCUUGUGCCAUCCUUAUAAAUUUUGUUCUAAGAUAAACCAGAGCAGAUAAAAUCGUGCUCUUGUAUAUAAGCCUUCACAGUGAGAACAGCUUCUAGAAAUGGGACUUUCAUGGAAUCAUGGAAAAUCCUGAGUUGGAAGGGACACAUAAGGAUCACUGAGUCCAACUUUGCAUUGCUUAUUACCAAAGUAAGAGAUGCACGAUACCCAUUUCAAGGGCCUUGUAACUAUUUUAUUCUAAAGGAGACCAAGCAGAAACAACUAUAUUUUUUCCUCCUGAAGGUCCCACUUAAAAAGUAUAACUGAAAAAUCAGUUAACUUGGUCACAUGUGUGUGAAUAUAUGUACAUACUGGAAAGAUAAAUGCUGGGGUUAUUAGCUCAAAUAGCUCUUGUUACCUGGACUUUCCCAUAUAGACAUCAACCUAUUUACAGAUUUCAACCCUCCAGUGCUUAUUCAACAACCGUGUUCUAUGCAAUAUAUUAAAUUGCUAAAUUUUAUCCCAUUGUUACAGCAGUAAAUGUUUUUAGCAUUUUAGCAGGAUGACUGCAUAUGGGACACAUGACUGUGUUUAGCCUUGUUUCCAUCAUGGGACUUUUCCAACAGAAGUCAGCUUGGUGGGUGGGCAAAGCCAUUGACCAAGAAGAUCGACCAUGCAGUAAUUUUUGGAAUGCCUUUGUGCAGUGGCCCCACCUGGCCUUGCAUUAGACUCGCUGACCUUGCUUGUCAGUGUAACUGAAGAUGUUGAUGUAAUAUCAAUAGAGUUAAAUACUCUUCUGAGUUAUCUAGAUAUUUUUCUGAGGAUUGGACACAUACUACCAGAACGAACUGCUCAAAGCCAGGGAUCCCACUGGUAAAAUAAAAUAAUAUGGUUAUAACUAUACCA